rnacentral:rRNA from 1 species
GACGAACGCUGGCGGCGUGCCUAAUACAUGCAAGUAGAACGCACAGUUUAUACCGUAGCUUGCUACACCAUAGACUGUGAGUUGCGAACGGGUGAGUAACGCGUAGGUAACCUGCCUGGUAGCGGGGGAUAACUAUUGGAAACGAUAGCUAAUACCGCAUAAUAUUGAUUAUUGCAUGAUAAUUGAUUGAAAGAUGCUAUUGCAUCACUACCAGAUGGACCUGAGUUGUAUUAGCUAGUAGGUGAGGUAACGGCUCACCUAGGGGACGAUACAUAGCCGACCGGAGAGGGUGGUCGGCCGCACUGGGACUGAGACACGGCCCAGACUGCUACGGGAGGCAGCAGUAGGGAAUCAUCGGCAAUGGACGAAAGUCUGACCGAGCAACGCCGCGUGAGUGAAGAAGGGUUUCGGAUCGUAAAGCUCUGUUGUAAGAGAAGAACGGGUGUGAGAGUGGAAAGUUCACACUGUGACGGUAUCUGACCAGAAAGGGACGGCUAACUACGUG